rnacentral:rRNA from 1 species
GAUCUUGCACAAUGGGGGCAACCCUGAUGCAGCAACGCCGCGUGGAGGAUGACGUCCUUCGGGAUGUAAACUCCUUUUCAGGGGGAGCAGGCAGGAGCGUACCCCUGGAAUCAGUCACGGCUAACUACUUUCCAGCAGCCGCGGUAACACGUAGGUGGCGAGCGUUAUCCGGAAUUACUGGGCGUAAAGGGUCCGUAGGUGGCCUGGCAGGUCUGCUGUGAAAGCGCCCGGCUCAACCGGGCGAGGCCAGUGGAAACCGCCGGGCUCGAGUCGCGCAGAGGGUUCUGGAAUUCCCGGUGUAGUGGUGGAAUGCGUAGAGAUCGGGAGGAACACCAGAGGCGAAGGCGGGGACCUGGGCGCGGACUGACACUGAGGGACGAAAGCAUGGGGAGCGAACAGG